rnacentral:rRNA from 1 species
GAUGAACGCUGGCUACAGGCUUAACACAUGCAAGUCGUGGGGAAACGGCAUUAUGUGCUUGCACAUUCUGGACGUCGACCGGCGCACGGGUGAGUAUCGCGUAUCCAACCUGCCCCUUACUUGGGGAUACCCCGUUGAAAGACGGCCUAAUACCCGAUGUGUUUCAUUGACGGCAUCCGAUAUGAAACAAAGGUUUUUCCGGUAAGGGAUGGGGAUGCGUCUGAUUAGCUAGUUGGCGGGGCAACGGCCCACCAAGGCGACGAUCAGUAGGGGUUCUGAGAGGAAGGUCCCCCACAUUGGAACUGAGACACGGUCCAAACUCCUACGGGAGGCAGCAGUGAGGAAUAUUGGUCAAUGGACGUAAGUCUGAACCAGCCAAGUAGCGUGCAGGAUGACGGCCCUAUGGGUUGUAAACUGCUUUUAUGUGGGAAUAAAGUGGCGCACGUGUGCGCCAUUGCAUGUACCUCAUGAAUAAGGACCGGCUAAUUCCGUGCCAGCAGCCGCGGUAAUACGGAAGGUCCGGGCGUUAUCCGGAUUUAUUGGGUUUAAAGGGAGUGUAGGCGGUCUGUUAAGCGUGUUGUGAAAUUUAGGUGCUCAACAUUUAACUUGCAGCGCGAACUGUCAGACUUGAGUACACGCAGCGCAGGCGGAAUUCAUGGUGUAGCGGUGAAAUGCUUAGAUAUCAUGAGGAACUCCGAUCGCGAAGGCAGCCUGCGGGAGUGUUACUGACGCUUAAGCUCGAAGGUGCGGGUAUCGAACAGG